AUGCAAAUACUUGAAUCCAGCAGGCCAAUAAUGAAAUGUGAACACUUUCUAAGUCUAAUUCUACACUUCCAGGUUGACAUGAGUACACAGACACAGGCUCUAGGAAAAUCUCUGAGUUCAUCGCCUAUGUGUGUGUGUGGAAACAGAAUGUGUGUGUGCACGUGUGUAGUGCGUGCUUCUGCAUGGCGCGCACUUUCUGCGUUCGUGUGUUUGAAAGCGUGUGAGGGAUUUAACUGUGGGUUUCCCUUUUAUUCAGUAUAUGCUUUUUUUUGGCGCAUUGGUCAAACGUUUGUUAUUGUUAUUAGCUUCUAACUUUGCACUGAGUGUCCCUGCCCUCCCUCCAGCUAAUCCUAGAUGUUAAAGAGAAUUCAUAGGACAGGGCCGGUGACAAUUCACGUGUAAAUGUUUACUCAAGGACUCUGUUACUGCGUCUAAAAAUUACAGUGUAUAUCUCUGGAGAAAUAAUAUGUAUACCUACCUUUAGCAGCUUUUUAUUGUGGACUAAUGCAAGAAAGUUAUUACCAGAGUAUUGCACCAUUUUUCCAUUUGGAAUAUAAAGUUAAAGAGAAAAAAACUGUUGUUGAACUGUGGCCAUAGAUACUUGUAAAGAGCGGAUGGUUCCGCGAAGGAACGAAACAAGCACUUGGACAUGGGUUGUGACUGCUUUUGGAGGAGCCCACGGUUUGGGCUCCCACCUGUUUACAGACCUUUUUUCUCCUUCAGACUUUAAAUUAAAAAAAAAAAAAUUAAAAAGGAAUUAAAAAAAUAAAAAAAAAUACUUCCAUCGUAAAGAAACCUAUUUUCAGAAUGCAGAUGCGCUACUUCAGAGCUCUGGGAUCGGACAGUGCUGUCCCCCUCGGCCGUCGUCGUGGACUCUGUCGAUUGUUUUCGCCCCUUCGUCAAAGUGACGAGGCGUUGUGGCCACUGUCUUGCACAUGCCGGACGCGCUCUCAGGAAAGCCAGGGCUCCCGAGGGCAGCUCCACACCAUUUCAUGUAUUUUUACACCCAACUCCUAGCACUGAAGAUGUUAUUAAAAAAUAAAAAAUAAAAAAAUAAAGAAAAAAAGAAAAAAGAGAAAAAAACGCAAAUACAAAAAUACCUAAUCUCUAAUGUGUAGCAGUUACAUAUUUACCAAAUAAUGGACUCAAAAAGAAAUAGAUGUUUGAAGAGUGCUUUAUAUAUUAAAAAUUGCUUUAUGUUUUAAAAAUGAUCAAUGUUUUGAUUGUUUUGCAAGGAAGAAAGACAAUGGAAUAACAUACCCUCAAGUAUGUUUUAAAAAAAAAAAUAUAUGAACAUUGUGCUCCCUGCCUGCUUGAUCAGGAAACUUGUGCAUUACAUUUUUUUUAAUUAGCUUUUUAAUGGUUUUAUCAAAACAAAAAAACAAAAAAAAAAAGUCCUGCAAGAUUGCAGGUCAACAAAAGCUGGUUUUAUAGAGGAUCAUGAACUAUGCACAAACUGGGUUCAAGACUUUUCUUCUCGAGUUCAGUAGUGUAUUUAGCGGCACGAACCUUCCUCAGAGUGGCUGCAUCUCAUUGCCAUUACAUGCAUCUGUAUAUUUGAUGUCUGGAUACCUGCAUAUGUGUAUCAAAUACAUGUGCGUGUGCGUGCGUGCGUGCGCGUGUGUGUGUGUGCACCCAGACAGCUCCCGUGCUGCCAGUUAGCGUUGAGUUGUAGAAAAACUCCUGAUGUUUUAAAAUUGGGGAUGGAAGUAAAGAAUCUGCUUGUUUUCGGAUUUUUGUUGGGUUUGUUUGAUUUUUUUGUUCAGUUUUGUUUUUUACCUUUAUUUUGAAUUUAAGAUGUCUGUAACUCUCAGAUUAAAAAACAAGUUUGUGGCUCUUAAUGUUUUCCUCAUAGAAUGUGAUUGUUGAAGAACAUGCACCGAAAGUUGCUUUCAAAAGUACAACGCUUUGUUGAAUCUUAAUAAAUUGCAAUUUUUUUUCUUGGCUGUUCAAA